rnacentral:rRNA from 1 species
UACAGAGGGUGCGAGCGUUAAUCGGAAUUACUGGGCGUAAAGGGUGCGUAGGUGGUUAAAUAAGUCAAAUGUGAAAUUCCUGAGCUCAACUUGGGGACUGCGUCUGAUACUGUUUGACUAGAGUAUUGUAGAGGGAGGUGGAAUUUCCGGUGUAGCGGUGAAAUGCGUAGAUAUCGGAAGGAACAUCAGUGGCGAAGGCGACCUCCUGGACAAAUACUGACACUGAGGCACGAAAGCGUGGGGAGCAAACAGG